rnacentral:rRNA from 1 species
GACGAACGCUGGCGGCGCGCCUAACACAUGCAAGUCGAGCGAGAACCAUUCCUUCGGGAAUGGGGACAGCGGCGAACGGGUGAGUAACACGUGGGUAAUCUGCCCUCGGUUCUGGGAUAGCCCGGGGAAACCCGAAUUAAUACCGGAUAGCCUCUUGAGCCUUCGGGUUCUCGAGAAAAGGUAGCUUCGGCCUCCGACUGAGGAUGAGCCCGCGGCGGAUUAGCUUGUUGGCGGGGUAACGG